rnacentral:lncRNA from 1 species
CCCGGACUCAAGUUAUUCUCCUGCCUCAGCCUCCCCAGUAGCUGGGACUACAGGCAUGCGCCACCACGCCUGGCUAAUUUUUGUACUUUUAGCGGAGAUGGGGUUUCACCAUGUUGGCCAGGCUGGUCUGGAACUCCUGAUCCACCUGGCUCGGCCUCUCAAAGUGCUGGGAUGACAGACAGGCGUGAGCCACCACGCCCGAUCUAUUGUUGAUUUUUAAUUGAGAUGUAUGAGAUCCAACCAGGACUUGCUGAAUCAGAAUCUCUGAUGGCGCAACACAGAAAACUAUCAUUGGCAAAUUGUUCUAAGCUGAUUAUGAUGCGACGGCUUUAUUGCUUGGGAACGGUACCAAAUUUCCUCGAAAGUCACUUCUGAAUUUGCAGUCUAAAUGAUGUGACCUCCCACAGUCCAGCACUGGUGAGUUGUUGCAUCAGGUACAACUGCAUCAUAAGGUAUGGAGUUUCUAAAUCACACCGAAAACAGUUAGCCAAAACAGUAGAAACUAGAGGAGUCCUCCUGAAAGUUGGCAUCAAUACAUGAACCCUAAGAGACAGCAUUUGUGCUCAUUGGGAAUAUGGAACUGGACACUUGGAUGUCUGUAGUACUUCUUCCAAUGCAGUGCCGUCUCUACCAUUCCUGGAUCUCAAACUCUUUCAUAUGGACCAUGAAUACACG